rnacentral:rRNA from 1 species
GACGAACGCUGGCGGCGUGCCUAAUACAUGCAAGUCGAGCGGACGAAUUUUGGUGCUUGCACCAAAUUUUCGUUAGCGGCGGACGGGUGAGUAACACGUGGGUAACCUGCCCUACAGUCUGGGAUAACUUCGGGAAACCGAGGCUAAUACCGGAUAAUACUUUUUAACACAUGUUAAAAAGUUGAAAGAUGGUUUUGCUAUCACUGUAGGAUGGACCCGCGGCGCAUUAGCUAGUUGGUGAGGUAACGGCUCACCAAGGCAACGAUGCGUAGCCGACCUGAGAGGGUGAUCGGCCACACUGGGACUGAGACACGGACCAGACUCCUACGGGAGGCAGCAGUAGGGAAUCUUCCACAAUGGGCGAAAGCCUGAUGGAGCAACGCCGCGUGAGUGAAGAAGGAUUUCGGUUCGUAAAACUCUGUUGCAAGGGAAGAACAAGUAGCGUAGUAACUGGCGCUACCUUGACGGUACCUUGUUAGAAAGCCACGGCUAACUACGUGCCAGCCGCCGCAGUAACAC